rnacentral:rRNA from 1 species
CACGUAGGCGGCCUUGCAAGUCAGAUGUGAAAUCCAACGGCUUAACCGUUGAACUGCAUUUGAAACUGCAAGGCUAGAGUAUGGGAGAGGUAGGUGGAAUUCUCGGUGUAGGGGUAAAGUCCGUAGAGAUCGAGAGGAAUACUCAUUGCGAAGGCGACCUGCUGGAACAUUACUGACGCUGAGGUGCGAAAGCGUGGGGAGCAAACA